CCUACGGGUCGCAGCAGUGGGGAAUUUUCCGCAAUGGGCGAAAGCCUGAUCCAGCCAUGCCGCGUGAGUGAAGAAGGCCUUAGGGUUGUAAAGCUCUUUCACCGGUGAAGAUAAUGACGGUAACCGGAGAAGAAGCCCCGGCUAACUUCGUGCCAGCAGCCGCGGUAAUACGAAGGGGGCUAGCGUUGUUCGGAAUUACUGGGCGUAAAGCGCGCGUAGGCGGAUAGAUAAGUCAGAGGUGAAAUCCCGGGGCUCAACCCCGGAAUUGCCUUUGAUACUGUUUAUCUUGAGUGCAGAAGGGGUAAGUGGAAUUCCGAGUGUAGAGGUGAAAUUCGUAGAUAUUCGGAGGAACACCAGUGGCGAAGGCGGCUUGCUGGUCUGCAACUGACGCUGAGGCGCGAAAGCGUGGGGAGCAAACAGGAUUAGAUACCC
rnacentral:rRNA from 1 species